AUGCCGCUCGGUAUGGCCUCUGAAGUUAGAAAGGGAGUCUCGCACCUGUCGUUGCGUAAUGGAUGCAAGUGUGUACCUGAACUUGGCGUGAGCGUGGAGGAUGUUCUCGUGGUGGUGGGAGAAAUUAUAGGCUUCGACAAUAUUCUCUCAGCAUCGCGAAUGAACAAAGCAGUCAUCGUGUUUUUAAAAACAGAGCAGUUAGUUAACCAGGUGACUGAGAAUGGAUUAUGGAUUAAGGAAAUGUUUGUGCCCGUUACUCCUUUAACGGCUCCGGCAACUAAAGUCACUAUUUCCAAUGUACCGCCUUUUGUCUCGAAUGACGCGAUUGUUAAAGAAUUAACCCGAUACGGUAAAAUCGCAAGUCCUGUCAGAAACAUACCAUUGGGAUGUAAAAACACUGAUCUCAAACACGUUUUGUCGUUUAGGAGACAAGUGUUAAUGUUUCUGACUUCAUCUGAGCGCACAUUAGAGAUCUCGUUCCGUGUAAGUCAUGGAGAUGGAUCAUAUAUGCUGUAUGCAAGUACUGACAAUCUAAAGUGCUUUGAUUGUGGAAAUAUAGGCCAUAAACGCUUCACCCGUCCUUAUAAAAAAGCGGAUGUUGAGCAGCAGCUGCCUGUUAAUGCUACUGAAAAUGGAUCAGCUCAUCACAAUGAUACCAGUGAUACCGAGGAUAAUAUGGCAGCAGCACAGGAUAAACAAGUACCUAAGAAACCAAACCAAAGGCCGUUAGAGGAGGUCUACGGGCACAAUGAGGUGAGUGAAAGCGAUGCUGCUGUGGAUGUGGAGAGCAGUGAGCAGGCUGGAUGCAGUUCUGCGCUUGUUAUAAAUGAAAAUGAUGUUGAGGAAGCAAAAGAAAAUGAGGUUGUAUCUCACACUGUUAUACAAAUAGCUGAGCAAUGCUCGGUGGAUGAUAUGGAUGGGUUAUCUCAGUACACAGAUGAUAGUAUGAAAGAUGAUGGGCAUUGGUCUGAAGGGUCAGAAAUGUCAAAAGUAGAGACAGAAGGAUUGUACACUGUGGCACAAAUUAAUGCUUUCCUGGAUGAGACAAAAGGUAGAAGCACGGAAGUGAGUGAAUUUUUCCCAGAUCUGGAUAAGUUUAUCUCUUCUGUAAUGUGGGCAAGGAAAAGUUGCAGUAAUGAUGAGCUAUCGCAACAGAAACGGUUUAGGUUAAAAAAAACAUAUAACUGA
ensembl:lncRNA